UACGUAGGAGGCAAGCGUUGUCCGGAAUUACUGGGUGUAAAGCGCGUGUAGGCGGCAGGCCAAGUCUGUGGUGAAAUCGCUCGGCUCAACUGGCGGGGUCCAUGGAAACUGGUCAGCUGGAGGACGGUAGAGGUGAGUGGAAUUCCCGGUGUAGUGGUGAAAUGCGUAGAGAUCAGGAGGAACACCGGUGGCGAAGGCGGGUCUCUGGGCAGUAACUGACGCUGAGGAGCGAAAGCGUGGGGGAGC
rnacentral:rRNA from 1 species